UACGUAGGGUGCAAGCGUUGUCCGGAAUUAUUGGGCGUAAAGAGCUCGUAGGCGGUCUGUCGCGUCUGCUGUGAAAACUCGGGGCUUAACCCCGGGCCUGCAGUGGGUACGGGCAGACUAGAGUGCGGUAGGGGAGACUGGAAUUCCUGGUGUAGCGGUGAAAUGCGCAGAUAUCGUAAGGAACGCCAGUGGCGAAAGCGAGUCUCUGGGCAGCAUCUGACACUGAGGCACGAAGGCCAGGGGAGCAAACGGG
rnacentral:rRNA from 1 species